AUUGAACGCUGGCGGCAGGCCUAACACAUGCAAGUCGAGCGGAGCGGCGGACGGGUAAGUAAUGCCUAGGAAUCUGCCUGGUAGUGGGGGAUAACGUACGGAAACGGGCGCUAAUACCGCAUACUAUCAGAUUAGCCUAGGUCUGAUUAGCGAGUGGGUGGGGUAAAGGCUUACCAAGGCGACGAUCCGUAACUGGUCUGAGAGGAUGAUCAGGCACAAUGGAACGGAGACACGGUCCAGACUCCUACGGGAGGGAGCAGUGGGGAAUAUUGCACAAUGGUCGCAAGCCUGAUACAGCCAUGCCGCGUGUAUGAAGAAGGCCUUCGGGUUGUAAAGUACUUUCAGCGGGGAGGCGUUACCCGCAGAAGAAGCACCGGCUAACUCCGUGCCAGCAGCCGCGGUAAUUC
rnacentral:rRNA from 1 species